CAUGAGGGAUACCUCAGUUGGUAGGGCAUGAGACUCUUAAUCUCAGGGUUGUGGGUUCAAGUCUCACACUGGGUGAAAGA